GGGUCUUUAGCUCAGCAGUAGAGCGGCAGACUUCGGCACAAAGUCGAAGGACACCUUCAAGGUACACCGUCUUGGUUUCUGCAGGUCGCGGGUUCAAUCCCCGUAGGACUCU
rfam:Pseudozyma antarctica DNA, scaffold: scaffold_v10002, strain JCM 10317, whole genome shotgun sequence.